GAUGAAGAACGUAGCGAAAUGCGAUAAGUAAUGUGAAUUGCAGAAUUCAGUGAAUCAUCGAAUCUUUGAACGCACAUUGCGCCCGCCAGCAUUCUGGCGGGCAUGCCUGUUCGAGCGUCAUUUCAACCCUCGAGCCCCCCCGGGGGCCUCGGUGUUGGGGGACGGCACACCAGCCGCCCCCGAAAUGCAGUGGCGACCCCGCCGCAGCCUCCCCUGCGUAGUAGCACACACCUCGCACCGGAGCGCGGAGGCGGUCACGCCGUAAAACGCCCAACUUUCUUAGAGGUGACCUCGGAUCAGGUAGGAAUACCCGCUGAACUUAAGCAUAUCAAUAAGCGGAGGA
rnacentral:misc_RNA from 1 species